GACGAACGCUGGCGGCGUGCUUAACACAUGCCAGUCGAACGGAAAGGCCCUGCUUUUGUGGGGUGCUCGAGUGGCGAACGGGUGAGUAACACGUGAGUAACCUGCCCUUGACUUUGGGAUAACUUCAGGAAACUGGGGCUAAUACCGGAUAGGAGCUCCUGCUGCAUGGUGGGGGUUGGAAAGUUUCGGCGGUUGGGGAUGGACUCGCGGCUUAUCAGCUUGUUGGUGGGGUAGUGGCUUACCAAGGCUUUGACGGGUAGCCGGCCUGGGAGGGUGACCGGCCACAUUGGGACUGAGAUAUGGCCCAGACUCCUACGGGAGGCAGCAGUGGGGAAUAUUGCACAAUGGGCGGAAGCCUGAUGCAGCAACGCCGCGUGCGGGAUGACGGCCUUCGGGUUGUAAACCGCUUUCGCCUGUGACGAAGCGUGAGUGACGGUAAUGGGUAAAGAAGCACCGGCUAACUACGUG
rnacentral:rRNA from 1 species